rnacentral:rRNA from 1 species
UAAGCAGGCAGUGAAAGCGUGUGGCUCAACCAUACUCACAUUAUCUGAACUGCAAAGCUAGAGUAUAUGAGAGGUAGCUGGAAUUGCUAGUGUAGGAGUGAAAUCCGUAGAUAUUAGCAGGAACACCGAUGGCGUAGGCAGGCUACUGGCAUAUUACUGACACUAAGGCACGAAAGCGUGGGGAGCGAACUGGAUUAGAUACCCAGGUAGUCCACGCCGUAAACUAUGGAUGCUA